UGGGGAAUAUUGCACAAUGGGCGCAAGCCUGAUGCAGCCAUGCCGCGUGUAUGAAGAAGGCCUUCGGGUUGUAAAGUACUUUCAGCGGGGAGGAAGGUGUUGAGGUUAAUAACCUCAGCAAUUGACGUACCGAGAAGAAGCACCGGCUAACUCCGUGCCAGCAGCCGCGGUAAUACGGGGGUGCAAGCGUAUCGGAAUUACUGGGCGUAAAGCGCACGCAGGCGGUCUGUCAAGUCGGAUGUGAAAUCCCCGGGCUCAACCUGGGAACUGCAUUCGAAACUGGCAGGCUGGAGUCUUGUAGAGGGGGUAGAAUUCCAGGUGUAGCGGUGAAAUUGCGUAGAGAUCUGGAGGAAUACCGGUGGCGAAGGCGGCCCCCUGGACAAAGACUGACGCUCAGGUGCGAAAGCGUGGGAGCAAACA
rnacentral:rRNA from 1 species